rnacentral:rRNA from 1 species
GUCAGCCUACGGGGCGCAGCAGUGGGGAAUAUUGCACAAUGGGCGCAAGCCUGAUGCAGCGACGCCGCGUGCGGGAUGGAGGCCUUCGGGUUGUAAACCGCUUUUGUUCAAGGGCAAGGCACGGUCUUUGGCCGUGUUGAGUGGAUUGUUCGAAUAAGCACCGGCUAACUACGUGCCAGCAGCCGCGGUAAUACGUAGGGUGCAAGCGUUAUCCGGAUUUAUUGGGCGUAAAGGGCUCGUAGGCGGUUCGUCGCGGCCGGUGUGAAAGGCCAUCGCUUAACGGUGGAUCCGCGCCGGGAACGGGG